UUUCAUGGAGAGUUUGAUCCUGGCUCAGGACGAACGCUGGCGGCGUGCUUAACACAUGCAAGUCGAACGAUGACGGUGGUGCUUGCACCACCUGAUUAGUGGCGAACGGGUGAGUAACACGUGAGUAACCUGCCCCCCACUUCGGGAUAACCUCGGGAAAUCGUGGCUAAUACCGGAUACGAGCACUCAUCGCAUGGUGGGUGCUGGAAAGAUUUAUCGGUGGGGGAUGGACUCGCGGCCUAUCAGUUUGUUGGUGAGGUGAUGGCUCACCAAGACGAUGACGGGUAGCCGGCCUGAGAGGGCGACCGGCCACACUGGGACUGAGACACGGCCCAGACUCCUACGGGAGGCAGCAGUGGGGAAUAUUGCACAAUGGGCGAAAGCCUGAUGCAGCGACGCCGCGUGGGGGAUGACGGCCUUCGGGUUGUAAACCCCUUUCAGUAGGGAAGAAGCGAGAGUGACGGUACCUGCAGAAGAAGCGCCGGCUAACUACGUGCCAGCAGCCGCGGUAAUACGUAGGGCGCAAGCGUUGUCCGGAAUUAUUGGGCGUAAAGAGCUUG
rnacentral:rRNA from 1 species